rnacentral:rRNA from 1 species
GAUGAACGCUGGCGGCGUGCCUAAUACAUGCAAGUCGAGCGAACGGACGAGAAGCUUGCUUCUCUGAUGUUAGCGGCGGACGGGUGAGUAACACGUGGAUAACCUACCUAUAAGAAUGGGAUAACUUCGGGAAACCGGAGCUAACACCGGAUAAUAUUUUGCACCGCAUGGUUCAACAGUAAAAGACGGUCUUGCUGUCUCUUAUAGAUGGAUCCGCGCUGCAUUAGCUAGUUGGUAAGGUAACGGCUUACCAAGGCAACGAUGCAUAGCCGACCUGAGAGGGUGAUCGGCCACACUGGAACUGGGACACGGUCCAUACUCCUACGGGAGGCAGCAGUAGGGAAUCUUCCGCAAUGGGCGAAAGCCUGACGGAGCAACGCCGCGUGAGUGAUGAAGGUCUUCGGAUCGUAAAACUCUGUUAUUAGGGAAGAACAUAAGUGUAAGUAACUGUGCACAUCUUGACGUUAACUAAUCAAAAAGCCACGGCUAACUACGUG